UCGCCUGUUUAUCAAAAACAUGGCUUUCUGAAAUUUAUUAAUAGGAGGUCUGGCCUGCCCGGUGGAGAAAGUCUCAACGGUCGCAGCUCCAACUGUGCGAAGGUAGCGUAAUAGGUCGUCCCUUAAUUAGGGGAAAGUAUGAAUGGUCGGAUGUUGGAAAGGCUUUAUUAAAGAGAUAGGUUGAAUUUUACUUUCUAGUGCAAAGGCUGGAAUUUCGUUAUUAGACGAGAAGACCCUGUUGAGCUUGGUAAGGCUAGUCCUUUUAGGAUUAGAGCUAUGUUUGUUCGGGGCUGAAGGGAAGGGAGAUAAUGCCUUCUAUGUUGUAUAAAAGAUCCAAUUUGAUUGAUUGGUGGAAGAUAGUUACCACAGGGAUAACAGCGCAAUCAUUCUGAUAAGGCCAUAUUUAAGGAGUGGUUUGCGACCUCCAUGUUGAAUCAAAAUUUCUACUACGUGUAGCAGCUUAUCAAGUGGGACUGUUCGUCCUUUAAAAUUUUACGUGAUCUGA
rnacentral:rRNA from 1 species